GAUGAACGCUAGCUACAGGCUUAACACAUGCAAGUCGCGGGGCAGCAUGACAUCAGCUUGCUGAUGUUGAUGGCGACCGGCGCACGGGUGAGUAACGCGUAUCCAACCUGCCCUUUACUAUGGGACAGCCCGUCGAAAGGCGGAUUAAUACCGUAUGUUGUCAUGUUGAUGCAUAUUUUCAUGACCAAAGGCUUCGGCCGGUAAAGGAUGGGGAUGCGUCUGAUUAGCUUGCCGGCGGGGUAACGGCCCACCAAGGCGACGAUGCGUAGGGGUUCUGAGAGGAAGGUCCCCCACACUGGUACUGAGACACGGACCAG
rnacentral:rRNA from 1 species